GAUGAACGCUGGCGGCGUGCCUAAUACUUGCAAGUCGAGCGAAUGGAUUAAGAGCUUGCUCUUAUGAAGUUAGCGGCGGACGGGUGAGUAACACGUGGGUAACCUGCCCAUAAGACUGGGAUAACUCCGGGAAACCGGGGCUAAUACCGGAUAACAUUUUGAACCGCAUGGUUCGAAAUUGAAAGGCGGCUUCGGCUGUCACUUAUGGAUGGACCCGCGUCGCAUUAGCUAGUUGGUGAGGUAACGGCUCACCAAGGCAACGAUGCGUAGCCGAGCUGAGAGGGUGAGCGCCCACACUGGGACUGAAACACGGCCGAGCCUCCAGCGGGAGGCAGAAGUAGGGAAUCUUCGAAAAUGGCCGAAAGUCUGGCGGAGCAACGCCGCGUGAGUGAGAAAGGCUUUCGGGUCGAAAAACUCUGUUGUUAGGAAAGAACAAGUGCUAGUUGAAUAGGCUGGCACCUUGACGGUACCAAACCAAAAAGCCACGGCUAACUACGUGCCAGCAGCCGCCGUAA
rnacentral:rRNA from 1 species